GCCUUAGAAACAUGAGCGAGUGUUUCUGAACAGCCACGGUCUCGCAUGCCUGCCCCUCAGCAACGGCCCUGCUCCAAACCGGUGUUACAGUGAUCUGAUUAUUGUAAUUGAUGACAUUAGGAAUAAGGAAUCCACACAGAAUAAUACAGGUGCCUGUCAUGCCAGAGUGGUUUUAUUCAUUGUUAGAGAAGUUCAUAAAGUUGAAAGAAAGCAUCUACAUGGGCUAGAACAGCACAAAGCAUGUUUCAGUCCUUUCUUAAUUUGUGAAUAAAAUGAUGAAUUCCAGAA
rnacentral:lncRNA from 1 species